rnacentral:rRNA from 2 species
GAAACUUGCCCCGAGAUGAGUUCUCCCUGACCCUUUAAGGGUCCUGAAGGAACGUUGAAGACGACGACGUUGAUAGGCCGGGUGUGUAAGCGCAGCGAUGCGUUGAGCUAACCGGUACUAAUGAACCGUGAGGCUUAACCUUACAACGCCGAAG